rnacentral:sRNA from 1 species
GCUCUUGAUUGCCGAACCAUCACUCCAGCUCUGCUAUUUUUGAAGAUUUAAUCUUAUACUGUGUGUGUGUGUGUGUGUGUGUGUGUGUGUGUGUGUGUGUGUGUGUGUUAGUGGUGUGAUGAUCAGAGGACAUCUUAGGGGAUCUUUCAGGAUUUGGUUCUCUCUUUCCAUUCUGGGUUCCAGGGAUCAAGUUCAGAUUAUCAGGCUUGCACGGCAAGUGCUCUUACUCACUGAGCUGUAUCACUAUCUCACUGCUCCCUUCUUACCUGGGGCAUAGCUGGAGCUCAGAGCGGGGAAAUAAUGCACCAGGUUUUGGCUGUUUUGUGGCAAGGCUGGCUGGAUGCAGGGCUUAGGCCCUUUGCAGAUGUUACCAGUCAUGGAGUUCACAGCCCAAAGUUCUGUAAGCAUAUUCUUGGGCUAGGUAGCCAGUCCCAUGCCAGCUUAUAGUCCUGGCUUAGAAACUCUUUGGGACAGAGACAGCAGAACUGCCAUCCUGUUUUUAGCUUGUUCUUUGUCAAGACUUAGAGUCUGAGAAAAGUCCUCAUCUCCAGUCAGACAUAAGAAGCUGAAUCAUCUAGAUAUAUCAGUGGGUGAACCCACACUGGGCAUCCAGGGGAAAAAUAACACCCCUAGAUCUACUCUUUGGCUUGCAUAAGUCCUGGGGUUUCCUCCUGCCCCUUCCAGAAACCAGAAUGUGACCUGCUUUAGUAGGAGCUAUGAAGUUUCUGAGGUUCCUAAGAGGGCCACAUGCCUUCAAAGUAACAUAGAGUAGUAAUACCAGCUUCUACACUUGUACAUGCUAGGUCAGCUACGGCAUCCCGCCCCGGCUGCCACCACAUAUACACACCAUGUUAGCCAGGGUUACACUUGGUAGGCCGUGCUUUGCCACUCCCUGGAUGAGAAUGCUGCUGUUAACACGUGCCACAGUCUUUGAUGCUCCUGUGGCCAUCUGAAGCUGAGAUAAAAAGAGGCGCUUAUCGAAAGGGGCAGUACUGUAGGCUCAAGAACUGGGGCGACAUACUGGGAGGCCUCAAGUGAGGUACAUUACCUCACUUGGAUCAUCAGUAGUUAGAGGUGUGGCCUCUCCAUGGACAGGUGGAAAUGCUAGUGCUAACAAAGACUGGUGAACACCAGGGCAACCAGACAGGCAGUGCAGUGCCUUUGACCUUUGUCCUUGCUGAACUUUCCAGGUAUUUGGACCCUGCUGCCAGAAGGGUAGAUGGAGCUGCAGGCUAGAGCUAACUGACUGAAGUGUGCCCCCUGGUGUUCAUCGCUCAAAUCGACAAGGUCAUCGGCAUGGCCCUUUGCAGAGUUUGGCUGCUUGACUUUCUCUUGAGGAACUGUGCCUGGCUGACUGCAAAGCAUACAGGGACAUGUGGUCAUCAAUCUACUAAAGAGGAAGAAUCCUACUGAUGGAUGCAUUUGGAAAGGUGAGCUUUCUGAGACCUGAAAGAGCUUCUAAGCAGGAAUCUGGGUCUUA